rnacentral:rRNA from 1 species
GAGUUGAAGAAGCAGAUCUCCUGCUCGAUGCAGCUGUCGAAUCUCAGCGAUGACUACAUCGCCUUCAAGGUGAAAACUACAAGCCCAAAGAAAUACUCUGUGCGGCCCAACACAGGGGUUGUCUUGCCACGAUCUACAUGCGAUGUUGUUGUGACAAUGCAAGCACAGCGAGAAGUACCAUCUGACAUGCAGUGCAAAGAUAAGUUCCUAGUCCAGAGCGUUGUUGCACCCUCUGGCAUAAAUGUGAAGGAUGUUACGGGAGAGAUGUUUAUGAAGGAAUCUGGAAAUAAGAUUGAAGAGGUGAAAUUACGAGUCACCUAUGUUGCACCUCCACAGCCACCAUCUCCAGUUCCUGAAGAAUCCGAGGAAGGCUCCCCAUCUAGGGUUGAAUCAGAAAAUGGAGAUGGUCCUGCUGGGGGAUUCACCAGAGCACUGCGAGAACGCAUUGAGCCCCAAGAAAAAUCUUUAGAGGCUGGAGCUUUGAUCUCCAAGUUGACCGAAGAAAAGAAUUCUGCAAUUCAACAGAACCAUAAAAUUAGACAGGAACUUGAUAUGAUGAGACGGGAAGUCAGCAAGAGGCGCGGUGGAGGGUUUUCCUUUGUAAUUGUCAUAAUUGUAGCUUUGAUCGGGAUCUUCCUGGGCUACAUGAUGAAGUCAUAA